UAGGGAAUCUUCCACAAUGGGCGCAAGCCUGAUGGAGCAACACCGCGUGAGUGAGAAGGGUUUCGGCUCGUAAAGCUCUGUUGUUAAAGAAGAACACGUAUGAGAGUAACUGUUCAUACGUUGACGGUAUUUAACCAGAAAGUCACGGCUAACUACGUGCCAC
rnacentral:rRNA from 1 species